rnacentral:rRNA from 1 species
CUACGGGCGGCUCCAGUGAGGAAUAUUGCACAAUGGGGGGAACCCUGAUGCAGCAACGCCGCGUGGAGGAUGACGCAUUUCGGUGUGUAAACUCCUUUUAUAUGUCAAGAAAAUGACGGUAGCAUAUGAAUAAGCACCGGCUAACUCCGUGCCAGCAGCCGCGGUAAUACGGAGGGUGCAAGCGUUACUCGGAAUCACUGGGCGUAAAGGACGCGUGGGCGGGUUGGAAAGUCAGGUGUGAAAUCCUACAGCUUAACUGUAGAACUGCACUUGAAACUUCUAUCUAGAGUAUGGGAGGGGGAGAUGGAAUUAGUGGUGUAGGGGUAAAAUCCGUAGAUAUCACUAGGAAUACCUAAAGCGAAGGCGAUCUCCUGGAACAUUACUGACGCUAAGGCGUGAAAGCGUGGGGAGCAAACAGGAUUAGAUACCCCGGUAGUC